GCAACCUGUUCAGUGCGUCACCACCCUCUGGGUGAAAAACUUCUUCCUAAUAUCCAACCUAAACCUCCCCUGUCUCAGUUUAAGACCAUUCCCCAUUGUCCUAUCACUAUCCACCCUCAUAAACAGAUGCUCAUGGCCAGCGUUGAUUGUAACUGCUGCCAGUGCUGCGUGUUCUGGGUAGCCAGGAAUGGGAGCAGUGACAUCAGCAAGGGUGGAUUUGUGACUGUUUUAUUGGGAACUGCUGAAUUUCCCCCCUCCCAGCUCACCUUCCUACUGUUUGCCUCAAUCAGGUGUGUAGCUUCAUUGGGCAUUCGGUGGCGGGGUCUGCUGUGCUUCCUUUUAAUGCUUUUAGUGCCGUUCCUGGAACUGCAGCGUCUGGGGAAAAGCAUUUGAAAUUGCACAUCAUUAGCAUGCUGAAGAGGAGGUAAUGUAUGUAAAGCAUUUGACCUCCCUCUGGCUCCUGUGGCCGGGACAAAUUCUGAUCUCAUUUGCAGCAGUGCGGAUUCCGAGUAUCUACAUUAAGCACAUUAAGUUCAGUGGAGUUACCCUGAAUUUAUACUGCCGCACCUGGUAAAUGGGAGAUGUCACUAACAGCCUUUUUGUGACCCAAGGGAAGGAAGUAAUGAAGGCAACCUGCAAAUGCGGGGAUGAAAACAGUUCCCGACAACAGGACUUCUGCUGGGGUGUGAAAUUUAUUGGGAGCUGCUGCAUGCUCAGCGUUUUUUAAAGCCAGCUCACGGUUUUGGUGCUGAAGUAUGGAAUGAGGAGCCUUAAUGCUGGCCUUGAGAUUGGAAAACAUGUCAAAGGUUACCUGGGACCCACCUGAAGAAAAGGGGAGAGGAUUGAGAGAAGUUAAAGGAUGGAGAAGGGGAAAUCUUUCAUUUCUUGUUUUCAUUCCUUUUUCCAAGAGGGAAGAGAAGAAGGUGGGGAAGAGUUGAAAAACAAAACCAGAAAAAGAGGAGGGAGUGGAACCUAAAGCCCGUUUCACGCAAAAUUAGUUGAAGGGAUUAAAUAUCCCACAAAAUAACGAGUGCCACAUUUUUUAUUCUCUCCCUGGAUGAGUAAAACACCCGUGAAACAUCCACCAUGCAUUUCCGUUCAGCUAAUCCCCGCCUGCACACUCCAAAUUCAAUAUCGCCAGCUAUUCUCGGUGCUAAAGAAUCAUUUUACUUUUUCCAAGUACACAGAAAAUUUGAAACAGCUGGAAACGAAAAACGAAGGAUUCCUUUGUGUGCAAAUCUCCAUCCUGAGUCUCAGCAAGGAGGGAAACCUGCGCUGUGCUGGUGGUGGAUGUGAUGGAGAUGCAGUGAGCCUGACCCGGUGCUGGGUGCCCCUUGGAGCCACGUGUCCCUUCCUUGCUUAUUUGAGGGAAACAGCCAGAUUUUGACAUGCCAGCUUCCUCAGAAGAAGAAUCGUUGGUCUGUUGCCUGCACGUGUUGGAUGUUAAUACGCAGAUGAUUGGUCUUGAAAAUAUUUCAAGUUUCAGUGUGGGCUCUCAUUCAUCCAUGCAAGAGGAGACCUGUGGCUCCGGGGUAAGAUUGAUCCAUCUCUCUGGAUCCCAGUGCCUUAUGGGGUGGAAGAGGGAGGAACUGUUGUGCAGAGGAGGAAGCUCCUCUCCAUGGGAGUCCGUUGGGUUUGAGUCCAAAUGGCUGGACACUCACAGACCCGGCGCCGUGUCCCUGCCGUGUGCUCCCUGCGCACUGCUUGGGUCUCAUUCCAGAUGUACAUAAAUGACAUUUAACAUUAUUAGCGACAGGAUGAGGGGAAAUGGCUUUAAACUGGAAGAGCAUCAAUUUAGACUAGAUAUUAGGAAGAAAUUCUUAUUGUGGGGGUGCUGAGACUCUGGAACAGCUUGCCCAGAGAGGUCACGGAUGCCACCAGGCUGGAAGCACUCAAGGCCAGGCUGGAUGGGGCUGUGAGCAACCUGGUCUAGAGGGAGGUGUCCCUACCUAUAGCAGGGGGUUGGAACUAGAUGAUCUUAAAGGUCCCUUCCAACCCAAACCAUUCUAUGAUUAUUAGAUUAAUUUGGACAAAACCCCCCAUAUUAGGUCUGCCUUACAGGACCCAGUUGUCCAAUAACUUUCACUCCCAAACUGUCCACUUUGCAUCAGAUUCUUAGAAAAUCCACACUGUAAGUUGGGAUUGUGCGCUGGGGUUUCUGUGUGUGCUUUUGUUUUCCACGCAGGAGGAAAUCUGUAGCUAAUGGGAGUUUCCAUUUAUGAGAUUCUACAGCUCUUCCAGCAUUCCCCUGCACUGGUCCCAGGAGCUGAAUUUAUGACAAGAAGUUUCAAAGCGAGCUGUAUAAGGAAGAAGCAAGUCUGAGAUCCUGCUCUGCCCAUGCCAGGAGGUCCCAGGUUCCUUCCAAGCUUAUGCCCAGGAUUUGGUUUCAGCAGUAAUCUAAGGGAAGUGGUUGGCUCUCUCCUGCCUGUGCCUGACCCCUGUCCAACAGCACGAAGGAGAAUGAAGAGGAUGGACUUUGCUGGAGGCAGGAACCUCUCCAAGGUGUGGAUCUGCUGCAUGUGCCCAUCUGGAAUUUUUAACGCCGUGAGGCUCAAGGGACGUCUUGACUGUUCCUCAUUCCAACUCUUGCUGGAUUACCUGUCCAAGGCUCCAUAAUUGCAGCUGCUGCUGAGAUAACAAAGUCUGCUUUGGGACCAGCAGUGCAGCCCCUGGGAAGCACUGAUCCCCCUCUGUGUCAGGAUGUGCUGUCUGCAGGGCAGCUGAGUGAGUCAAGGGCUGGAUUUGCCUGGCUCUGAACUGAACAAAUACAGCAAGGCACAGCCUGCUCCAAGCUUCUUUAGGUCCAGCAAGAGAAUCCAGAAGGGAUUUACAACCAAAUCAAGAGAAAAGGUGACCAAGGCAGAAGUA
rnacentral:lncRNA from 1 species